GUCUUGUGAGCAAGCAGUAAGGUAAUUUUUAUCUGUCAAAAUUGGUAACAGUCUUUUCGCCAACGUUUUACAGCAGUUGGAAAUUUGGUCCUCACGGAUUGGAGGAAACGGCGUUCGCCAAAGUCCUCAUCUUCUUUCUUCUUGCUUAAAAAGUAAGAUUGAUACAGAUACAGAAAUUUGAAUUAUUUUGGCUGAAACCAAAAGAAUGGACAGUUAUGCGGAAGAAUCGCUUAAUUCUGAUGAAAAGCACAAUGGUUUGUUAAUCAAAAAACCUGUCUGGAAGUCGCCAUCCUUAAAAAUGAGAACAAAAAAUAAACGUAAGCAGCGGAAGGAAACUAUCAAAAUAUUCAGAAAAUGCAGACUCACGAAAAGAGUUAGAAAGAGCAUAGGUAA